ACGAACGCUGGCGGCGUGCUUAACACCUGCCAGUCGAACGGAAAGGCCCUGCUUUUGUGGGGUGCUCGAGUGGCGAACGGGUGAGUAACACGUGAGUAACCUGCCCUUGACUUUGGGAUAACUUCAGGAAACUGGGGCUAAUACCGGAUAGGAGCUCCUGCUGCAUGGUGGGGGUUGGAAAGUUUCGGCGGUUGGGGAUGGACUCGCGGCUUAUCAGCUUGUUGGUGGGGUAGUGGCUUACCAAGGCUUUGACGGGUAGCCGGCCUGAGAGGGUGACCGGGCAGAGGGGGGGGGGGGGGCGGCCGAGAGUCGGGGGGGAGGCAGGUGUGGGGGAGGAUGCGCGGGGGGGGGGAGCCCGAUGGAGGAGCGGCGCGUGUGGGGAGACGGGGGGGGGGACGUGAGCCGCUUGGGGGUGGGGGGAGGGGGGGGGGGCGGUAAGGAGUACCGAAGAACCGGCUAACGACGUGCAGGCGGCCGGGGUGAUAAUGGGAAGAGCAGACGUCUGACC
rnacentral:rRNA from 1 species